rnacentral:misc_RNA from 1 species
GAUCAUUACCGAGUGUAGGGUUCCUAGCGAGCCCAACCUCCCACCCGUGUUUACUGUACCUUAGUUGCUUCGGCGGGCCCGCCAUUCAUGGCCGCCGGGGGCUCUCAGCCCCGGGCCCGCGCCCGCCGGAGACACCACGAACUCUGUCUGAUCUAGUGAAGUCUGAGUUGAUUGUAUCGCAAUCAGUUAAAACUUUCAACAAUGGAUCUCUUGGUUCCGGCAUCGAUGAAGAACGCAGCGAAAUGCGAUAACUAGUGUGAAUUGCAGAAUUCCGUGAAUCAUCGAGUCUUUGAACGCACAUUGCGCCCCCUGGUAUUCCGGGGGGCAUGCCUGUCCGAGCGUCAUUGCUGCCCAUCAAGCACGGCUUGUGUGUUGGGUCGUCGUCCCCUCUCCGGGGGGGACGGGCCCCAAAGGCAGCGGCGGCACCGCGUCCGAUCCUCGAGCGUAUGGGGCUUUGUCACCCGCUCUGUAGGCCCGGCCGGCGCUUGCCGAACGCAAAUCAAUCUUUUUCCAGGUUGACCUCGGAUCAGGUAG